UGGUGACUGAGUGGCGGACGGGUGAGUAACGCGUGGGUAACCUGCCCUGUACAGGGGGAUAACAGCUGGAAACGGCUGCUAAUACCGCAUAAGCGCACGAGGAGACAUCUCCUAGUGUGAAAAACUCCGGUGGUACAGGAUGGGCCCGCGUCUGAUUAGCUGGUUGGCAGGGUAACGGCCUACCAAGGCAACGAUCAGUAGCCGGUCUGAGAGGAUGAACGGCCACAUUGGAACUGAGACACGGUCCAAACUCCUACGGGAGGCAGCAGUGGGGAAUAUUGCACAAUGGGGGAAACCCUGAUGCAGCAACGCCGCGUGAGUGAAGAAGUAUUUCGGUAUGUAAAGCUCUAUCAGCAGGGAAGAUAAUGACGGUACCUGACUAAGAAGCUCCGGCUAAAUACGUGCCAGCAGCCGCGGUAAUACGUAUGGAGCAAGCGUUAUCCGGAUUUACUGGGUGUAAAGGGUGCGUAGGUGGCAGUGUAAGUCAGAUGUGAAAGGCCGGGGCUCAACCCCGGAGCUGCAUUUGAAACUGCUCGGCUAGAGUACAGGAGAGGCAGGCGGAAUUCCUAGUGUAGCGGUGAAAUGCGUAGAUAUUAGGAGGAACACCAGUGGCGA
rnacentral:rRNA from 1 species